rnacentral:rRNA from 1 species
GACGAACGCUGGCGGCGUGCUUAACACAUGCAAGUCGAACGGAAAGGCCCUGCUUUUGUGGGGUGCUCGAGUGGCGAACGGGUGAGUAACACGUGAGUAACCUGCCCGUGACUUUGGGAUAACUUCAGGAAACUGGGGCUAAUACCGGAUAGGAGCUCCUGCGGCAGGGUGGGGGUUGGAAAGUUUCGGCGGUUGGGGAUGGACUCGCGGCUUAUCAGCUUGUUGGUGGGGUAGUGGCUUACCAAGGCUUUGACGGGUAGCCGGCCUGAGAGGGUGACCGGCCACAUUGGGACUGAGAUACGGACCAGACUCCUACGGGAGGCAGCAGUGGGGAAUAUUGCACAAUGGGCGGAAGCCUGAUGCAGCAACGCCGCGUGCGGGAUGACGGCCUUCGGGUUGUAAACCGCUUUCGCCUGUGACGAAGCGUGAGUGACGGUAAUGGGUAAAGAAGCACCGGCUAACUACGUG